rnacentral:rRNA from 1 species
UACGAAGGGGGCUAGCGUUGCUCGGAAUCACUGGGCGUAAAGCGCACGUAGGCGGCUUUUUAAGUCAGAGGUGAAGUCCUGGAGCUCAACUCCAGAACUGCCUUUGAUACUGGAGAGCUUGAGUCCGGGAGAGGUGAGUGGAACUGCGAGUGUAGAGGUGAAAUUCGUAGAUAUUCGCAAGAACACCAGUGGCGAAGGCGGCUCACUGGCCCGGUACUGACGCUGAGGUGCGAAAGCGUGGGGAGCAAACAGG